UACGUAGGGUGCAAGCGUUGUCCGGAAUUAUUGGGCGUAAAGAGCUCGUAGGCGGUCUGUCGCGUCGGCUGUGAAAACCCGAGGCUCAACCUCGGGCCUGCAGUCGAUACGGGCAAACUAGAGUACUGCAGGGGAGACUGGAAUUCCUGGUGUAGCGGUGAAAUGCGCAGAUAUCAGGGAGGAACACCGGUGGCGGAAAGGCGGGUC
rnacentral:rRNA from 1 species